AUGUAAUUAAACUAAAGAAAUAUUGGGGGUGCAGAACUGGAACUGGUGUGUGAUCAGCGAAUGGGCCUUAGGCCCAAGAAUUUCUGCUGCAAAAACAAAAACGAUCCACAACACUACAGCUAGGGGGUAUGUGGAUCAGUUGGGGAUGAUGAUGUUUGAAGGAUGGUUAGACCCAAAAUGUUAUAAGCCCAUCAUAAUCACAUGUCAUUGCUUGAAACAAAAAAAACUCCAAUAUGCGCCCCCAAAAUUGAAUUUGAAUGGAGCACAGACGCGCACUCUCUUUGCCCACCCUAUCAAAUCAAUGGCUGUCGCGGGCCACCACACUGAAAAUCGCUUCUCGCGGUUGUGGCCACCAGAAACACAAACCAGAUAUUCUGUUGGAAUCAUCUUCACCUCCCCAAUUCGAAUCCAUCCUCAAUUUCAACCAAUUUCUGAUCCAUUUCCAAAAAUUGGAUUAAAGAGCUCAAGAACCCUAGAGGUUCAAAUACAAAUUACAUAUUGGAGAGACAGAUUCAGAUCCACAAAUGUUAGGGCUUUUAAUUGCCCUGAUGCAAGCUACAAAAUGACAACAUGAUUGUAGUGAAAGGGUGAGGAUGAACCUACCUCUGAAGCUGAGGAUCGCUCCGGAGAAAUGUUGAAUCAAAGAAGACAAACUGGAGAUGGAAAAUCACUUGAUUAACAGGCUUCUUGGUCAUGAGCACAUGAAGGGUGGUUUUGGAACAAAAGGUUUGCAACAUGACAUUGAAAAUGGAAGCAACAUAUACCAAUGGAAAAUCAAAGGAUCAAGUUGGAUCUUGAAGGUCAGGAAAAGGGUUUAGAAUGGGAAAAGAGGUUAAGUUGACUUUGGUCAAAGUUGACCAAAAAGUCAACUUUUGACCAAAGUCAACACUUAGUAAAAGUUGCCAAAUUUGGUAAUUUUAUGUAAUGAUCAUUAUAAUGGAUUGUAGUGACCAUUUGAAUGAAAUUGAUUGGUUUUGAAAUUGAAUCUUGUACAUGUAUGAUCUUGAAUGAACUUGAACAUAUCAUGAACCAUUGUUUGAACAUGUAUGAAAAGGAAUAAAAAUGAGUUGAACAUGACUUGUAA